UACAGAGGUCCCAAGCGUUGUUCGGAUUCACUGGGCGUAAAGGGUGCGUAGGUGGUCGGGUAAGUCUGAUGUGAAAUCUCCAGCUCAACUUGGAAAUGGCAUUGGAUACUAUUCGGCUAGAGGGUUGAGGGGGACUGGAAUACUUGGCGUAGCAGUGAAAUGCGUAGAUAAUCAAGUGGAACACCAGUGGCGAAGGCGAGUCCCUGGAAAACUCCUG
rnacentral:rRNA from 1 species